GACGCUGGCGGCAGGCUUAACACAUGCAAGUCGAGCGGGCAUAGCAAUAUGUCAGCGGCAGACGGGUGAGUAACGCGUGGGAACGUACCUUUUGGUUCGGAACAACACAGGGAAACUUGUGCUAAUACCGGAUAAGCCCUUACGGGGAAAGAUUUAUCGCCGAAAGAUCGGCCCGCGUCUGAUUAGCUAGUUGGUGAGGUAAUGGCUCACCAAGGCGACGAUCAGUAGCUGGUCUGAGAGGAUGAUCAGCCACAUUGGGACUGAGACACGGCCCAAACUCCUACGGGAGGCAGCAGUGGGGAAUAUUGGACAAUGGGCGCAAGCCUGAUCCAGCCAUGCCGCGUGAGUGAUGAAGGCCCUAGGGUUGUAAAGCUCUUUUGUGCGGGAAGAUAAUGACGGUACCGCAAGAAUAAGCCCCGGCUAACUUCGUG
rnacentral:rRNA from 1 species